CCAUAUCACAUUGAAACACUAGUUUUCAGGUGAUCACUGAAGUUAAGUAACAUCGAGCCUGGUCAGUACCUAGAUGGGUGACUAUUUGGGAAUAUUAGGUGCUGUAAG